rnacentral:lncRNA from 1 species
GACAAACUAAUAGGGAAUCUGGAACUCGAGCCUAAUAGUUGUCACACAAACACAAAGAGACGCUGAGACGUCAGAAGAAACAAAAAGGUUGAAAAAGAAAAAAGGGCGCCCGGAGAGAUCUCGCUCGAUCUCCUGCCUACGUAUCUCAUCUGGUAUGAGAAUCAGGGCGACGUAGUUCUCCUUAACAGGGGAGAAACUCUCUCCUAACCAGAGAC